GAGCUAGUGCCAUUGGUUUGUCUCCACCGAGUUCUUUCCUGGUACCUUAUUGGGCUAAAAGGCGCGUCGGUCAGAUCUGGAUUCGUUUUGCUACGGUUGUUUGCUAGGGAGUUUAGAUGACUCUGGUCGUUUGGCCUGUAGUUGACUGUAAUAACGACUGCUAUUUAUUGCGUGCCUACUUUGUGCCAACUAUGCAGAGAUCUUUACAGGGACUAUUGGUUAAACCCCUUUAUAAAUAAAUGGACACUUCUACCAACCUUCUGUUUCAAGCGGACCCCCCUGCCAUCCAUCUCCAGCUCACUCUUGGAGAGAGUACGCAGGAGCUGGAAAUAAGGAAAGAGUCUAAAAGACAAAAAGAAUAAAUCGUUUUGGAAAUAAGUAAUUUACUGUAUGCAAAUGGAACAGCCCUUCAGCUGCUGGAAAGCUUCCAGAGUAGCCCCUAAUGCUGUGCGAGAUGUGCGCGCCUGGCUUGUGGCCAUUGGAUUCUUUCUCUGUGGCAGCUUUCAGCAAAGUGAAUCCAACAUUCCAGCCAGAGGAGGGCAGGAUGCUUAGGAUCCACUGCCAGAGAGCCAACUCCUGCCUCUGGGACUAAAAUGAUCUCCAGGAGCACAGUGCUGGACGCCAGCCUGCAUUCCAUCUCGGGUAAUUAACAUUUUACCAUCCCAAAUCCCCAACCCCUGUAGCUUCAGUGGGAUCAUCGCCCUUGUUUCACCUCCUGAUCCAAGCUAUUGUGUAACCUCAUUGGCACUACUUUAAUAAUAAAGCGACCGCUAUAACUCAGUAA